CUUCUAGUAACUGAACAUGCAGUUCUGGGUGGGCUGACUCUACCCUCUGGGGCAGGUGGGCACUUAGCCUGGCUAAUUAGACCCUUUGAUUUGGCCACUGUGAUUGCUUCUGGGGCAGAGAUCCAAACUGAACCAGCACUGGGGAGGAGCUGUUGCCAGGACAGCUGGAGGGGGAGAGAGGAUGUGACACAAGCCCAGGGCAGGCAACCAGCAGCUGCCCGAGAAUGUCGGCAACAUGGGGGAAGGCGAUGCCAAGAGACGGAGAGAGCCAGCCUGCGUGCUCAGGAUGGUUCUGGAUCCAGCCCAGCCUGAAGCAAGUCUACCCCUGGGACUCCUGAAUAAAUUCUCUCUCCCUCUUGCUCAAGCCAGUGGGAGUGGUGCUUUGUCAUUUUCUACCAAGAGUUUCACCUAAAUACCUAAUGAAAAUGACGCUUGUUUGCUUCUCUGCUCUCCGGUGAGUCAUAGAAAAGACAGUGUAUCCCUUACCUGUGAACCACAAGCUGGGUCUCCAAAGACCAGCAGGACACAGUGUUUUGUUUUGUUUUGUUUUUCAAUUAUUUGUUUAUUUGACUUAGCUGGGUCUUAGUUGUGGCCCAUAGGAUCUUCAGUUGAGGCAUGCGGAAUCUAGUUCCCUAACCAGGAAUUGAACCCAGGGCCGCUGAGUUGGGAGGGAGGAGACUUAGACACUAGACUGCCAGGGAAGUGCCCGCAAUGACUUUUUCACUUACUCCUAUGAAACAGAAGGUGUGGUUCUAUAAACUAAGUACGAACAUAGGAAGCAACUGAUUUCUAUCUUUUAGGCACAUAAACAUGUAAAUAUAAAUAGAUAAUCUGCUAUGAACAUUUCUGCAAAACUUUGUAUGGAUAUAUGUUUUUAUUUCUCCCAAGUAAAUACCUAGAAGUGGCAUUACCUAGCAACUGAUGGUCCUACUUGCUCCACAUGCUUGUCUUGUGUGUGUUUGCCAAUUUCAGCCCUUCUAAUAGGAGGAGUGGUAUUUUAUUGUGGUUUUAAUGUACAUUUCCCUAAUUGCCUGAGCUUUUUUCACCACCAGGUUAAAAAUGUAUUUAUGAGUAUAUAUGUAUGUCAGUGUGUUAGUCAUUCAGUCAUGUCUUUUGACUCUUUGUGACCCCAUGAACUAGGUAGCCUGCCAGGCUCUUCUGUCCAUGGGAUUCUCCAGGCAAGAAUACUGCGGUGGGUUGCCAUUUCCUUCGCCAGGGGAUCUUCCCAACCCAGGGAUGGAAUCCAGGUCUGCAUUGCAGGCAGAUUCUUUACCAUCUGAGCCACCAGGGGAGACUUAACAAAUUAAGUUUCAUUAUGGUUAAGUGUCUUUUCAGAUAUUUUGACUAUCUGUGGGUGUUGUUUGCUUAUUAUGGACUAGUGAGAAUUCCCUGAAUAUGAAAAGUCAUCAUAUAUAUAUAUAUUUUUUCCCUAGUCUGAUGCUUGUCUUUCCAUCCUCUUAGCUUUGUCUUUGAAGAGCAGUUUUUAAUUUUGAUGUAGUCCAGUUUAUCCAUUGUUCUUUUGGAAUUAUAGUACUAUGUGUAUCUAAGAAAAAUUUCUUAGAUUUUGAGACUUUCUUAAAAUUUUAGGAACAUUUUCUCCCAGAAAUUUCUUCUAGAAAUUUUGUAGUUUAACGGCCUUGAGUUUAGGUCUAUGAUCUGUUUUGAGUUAAUUUUUGUGUAUGGUACAAGAUGUGGAUUGAAGUUUGAGCUUUUGCGUAUGAAUAUACAAUUGUUGUGGUACCGUUUGUUGAAAGGACUAUUGUGUCUCUACUGAAUCACCUUUGUUACCUUUGUUGAAAAUCAGUCGUCUGUAUACAUGUGGGUCAAUCGCUGGACCCUAUUCUAUUCUGUUGAUUUAUUUGUGUAUUUUAAUGCCACACUGUCUUUAUUACUGUGGCUUCAUGAAUCUUGGAAUCAAGUUCUGUAAAUCAUUCAAUUUUGUUCGUCUUUUUCACAGCUAUUUUGACUCUUCUAGGUCCUUUGCAUUUCCAUAUGAAUUUUGGAAUCAGCUUGUCAAUGUCUACAAUAAAGCUUGCUGGAAAUAUCCACACACUCAGGUAUGGGGACCACGUCACAAGAUUUUAUCUUCUUUAACCUGACUCCACGCUUCCAUCCCAAUGACUGCAAGAGAGAUGCCCUCAAAAGCCCUUGAUUUUCAACCCAGACCUUCCUGAAGACUAGAAAGCAUGAAGAAACAUCUACCUGGUUGACAAGGCUCUGUGGCUGUUUGGAGUGUAUUUACUGCUCUCUGGCAAAUAUUAACAUGGAAUGCCCCAGGUUGCAUGUGGGAUCUUAGUGCCCUGACCAGGGAUUGAACCCUUGCCCCGUGCAGUGGAAGCACAGAAUCUUAACCAGUAGAUCACUAGAAAAUAUAAGAUGACACCUGUGGCUCAUGUCCUAUCUCCUGGAUGGCACUGCUGGACAAAAGAGAGACCUUUGAACACUCAGUGAAGAUUUUCCAGCUUAUUUCCUUCCCAUGUCUUGGUCAUUCAUCUCUUCCUUCAAUUAUCUGAAAACAUCACAAUACUUCAUAGAUUCAUGUAUAAACUAUCUGAAGUUCAUAUCUAUUUCUUGCCACAAAAUUAAAUCGCAGGAUGUUGCAAGAAUUCAGAAAAAGAUUAAAUCACCUUGAGUUCUACUCAAGUAGAGAGGGGAAACCAUGAAUUUAACAUGUGGCCUGAACACAUGUAGUUAUCUCCACUCAUCCCAGAGUUCACUAAAAUAACCACAUACAGAUUUAAAAAGCCAUACAAACCCUAUUAGGGCACAGACGACAGAAGUGACCACAAGCGAAAAAGAGACAUCAGCACUGUUUUUAAAGAUGGAAAGUAGACAAGCGCAAGCAGGAAGAGGCUUGGUAGAUCAAACUCGUCUCAAAUGCCGCAUUGGGGAUAGGGUGGUGGAUAAAAGCAAGGGGCUUUAAAAAAUAAGCUUUUUUUUUUUUUUUUUUUUUUUGCAUCAGAAUACUGGAAAAUCUACUCUGGUGGCUCAACAGUAAAGAAGUCACCUGCAAUGCAGGAGACAUGGGUUCGAUCCCUGGGUCGGGAAGAUCCCCUGGAGAAGGAAAUGGCAACCACUUCAGUAUUCUUGCCUGGGAAAUCCACAUGUCUCUGCCCUCAGCUCCGCACCCCGCCCCCAUCCCUGCUCAUUUGUUGCAUGGUCAGUGAGGCUCACUCUGAUCAUCAUAUUUUUAUUGUAAUCUGACUUCCUCUCACUAUUGGCACUCCUAACCCUCCUAUCCUGCUCUGCUGUUCUUAUUACUUUCUAACACACAAGACCAGUGAUAUAUUUAUGUCUAUUCACUUUAUCUGUUUUCUUCAUGAGGAUACUUUAAGGCAAGUCUUUUGUCUGUUUAUAUAUAUAUAUAUAUAUCCCAAGUACCUAAAACAGAAUCUGGUACAUGUUAGGCAACAAAUAAGCAUUUGUUGAAUGCAUGAACAAAUGAAGAAUGGAGACAAGGCUGAAUGAGAAAUCACCAGAGAAUUCUUAUUUAUGGAAUCAAUCCAUCGAUGAGCCUGGAGACAAUGAGGGGAUGAGCAAUGUCAAUCCUGGUUGGUUGAGGUGAGAUAAAGGCUAAAAUAAUUCACUAACUAUAAACUUUAUGUCAUGAGUGGAAUUCCUGACAAGGAAUUCCAAUUCCUGGAAGUCCUAUAUUAUGUCCUGAUGAUUCAUCCAUACAUUUCUGUGACAAAUAGUACCACAAAGAACUCACUUCAUUGAAAGAGGAAUAAUAAAAAUUAAAACAAUAAUAAUAAAAGAUGAAAUAUUAAAUUUAUAAAUUUAUUCACAAGAAAAAAAGCUGAGGAAAAUAACAGAAAAAAGAAAAGAUAAAUGAAGACCCCUCCCUGGAAAAAUGUUACCCAAGAGCACAUGAGAAUCUGACCAUACAUAUGGUCAGUUCAGUUCAGCUCAGUCGCUCAGUCGUGUCCGACUCUUUGCGACCCCAUGAACCAGGCCUCCCUGUCCAUCACCAUCUCCUGGAGUUCCCUCAGACUCAGCCAUCUCAUCCUGGGUCGUGCCUUCUCCUCCUGCCCCCAAUCCCUCCCAGCAUCAGAGUCUUUUCCAAUGAGUCAACUCUUCGCAUGAGGUGGCCAAAGUACUGGAGCUUCAGCUUUAGCAUCAUUCCUUCCAAAGAAAUCCCAGGGCUGAUCUCCUUCAGAAUGGACUAGUUGAAUCUCCUUGCAGUCCAAGGGACUCUCAAGAGUCUUCUCCAACACCACAGUUAAAACGCAUCAAUUCUUCGGCGCUCAGCCUUCUUCACAGUCCAACUCUCACAUCCAUACAUGACUACUGGAAAAACCAUAGCCUUGACUAGAUGGACCUUAGUUGGCAAAGUAAUGUCUCUGCUUUUGACUAUACUAUCUAGGUUGGUCAUAACUUUUCUUCCAAGGAGUAAGUGUCUUCUAAUUUCAUGGCUGCAGUCACCAUCUGCAGUGAUUUUGGAGACCCAAAAUAUAAAGCCUGACACUGUUUCCACUGUUUCCCCAUCUAUUUGCCAUGAAGUGAUGGGACCAGAUGCCAUGAUCUUCGUUUUCUGAAUGUUGAGCUUUAAGCCAACUUUUUCACUCUCCUCUUUCACUUUCAUCAAGAGGCUUUUUAGCUUCUCUUCACUUUCUGCCAUAAGGGUGGUAUCAUCUGCAUAUCUGAGGUUAUUGAUAUUUCUCCCGGCAAUCUUGAUUCCAGCUUGUGUUUCUUCCAGUCCAGCAUUUCUCAUGAUGUACUCUGCAUAUAAGUUAAAUAAGCAGGGUGACAAUAUAUAGCCUUGAUGUACUCCUUUUCCUAUUUGGAACCAGUCUGUUGUUCCAUGUCCAGUUCUAACUAUUGCUUCCUGAUCUGCAUACAGAUUUCUCAAGAGGCAGGUUAGGUGGUCUGGUAUUCCCACCUCUUUUAGAAUUUUCCACAGUUUAUUGUGAUCCACACAGUCAAAGGCUUUGGGAUAGUCAAUAAAGCAGAAAUAGAUGUUUUUUCUGGAACUCUCUUGCUUUUUCCAUGAUCCAGCAGAUGUUGGCAAUUUGAUCUCUGGUUCCUCUGCCUUUUCUAAAACCAGCUUGAACAUCAGGGAGUUCACGGUUCACGUAUUGCUGAAGCCUGGCUUGGAGAAUUUUGAGCAUUACUUUACUAACAUGUGAGAUGAGUGCAUUGUGCGGUAGUUUGAGCAUUCUUUGGCAUUGCCUUUCUUUGGAAUUGGAAGGAAAACUGACCUUUUCCAGUCCUGUGGCCACUGCUGAGUUUUCCAAACUUGCUGGCAUAUUGAGCGCAGCACUUUCACAGCAUCAUCUUUCAGGAUUUGAAACAGCUCAACUGGAAUUCCAUCACCUCCACUAGCUUUGUUUGUAGUGAUGCUUUCUAAGACCCACUUGACUUCACAUUCCAAGAUGUCUGGCUCUAGAUUAGUGAUCAUAUCAUUAUGAUUAUCUGGGUCAUGAAGAUCUUUUUUGUACAGUUCUUCCGUGUAUUCUUGCCACGUCUUCUUAAUAUCUUCUGCGUCUGUUAGGUCCAGACCAUUUCCGUCCUUUAUCGAGCCCAUCUUUGCAUGAAAUGUUCCCUUGGUAUCUCUAAUUUUCUUGAAGAGAUCUCUAGUCUUUCCCAUUCUGUUGUUUUCCUCUAUUUCUUUGCACUGAUCGCUGAAGAAGGCUUUCUUAUCUCUUCUUGCUAUUCUUUGGAACUCUGCAUUCAGAUGCUUAUAUCUUUCCUUUUCUCCUUUGCUUUUUGCCUCUCAUGACUCCUAAAACUCAAUGAACAAAUCUGCUUUAUAAAAUAAGAACAUAAAUUUUAAAAAAAAAGAACGUAAAUUAGAGCUACAAGAGAUUAAAGAAAGUGUAAAGAGACAACCAAAAGAAGAAGGAAGUGGUAUCAGUAAAACUGUGAACUUCGAAGCCUUGCUUUAGGAAUUUUACUUUUCUAUUUCAAGAAUCUUGCUCACCAUAGAAAUACUGAGAAAACAACUAGAAGCUGUCUGAGUCAACAUUGUAGGAGCUCCAGAAAACAAGCAAAGGUUAGCAGCAACCAAGCAAACAUCCAUUCAAGAAGAGGUCAUCUUCUGCACUUUGCUGGUGGUCCAGUGGUUAGGAUUCCGUGCUCUCAUUCCUAAGGGCCUGGGUUCAAUCCUUAGUCAAAGAACUUCGCGGAAGCCUCACAGUGUGACUAAAAAAAAAAAAAAGGAAAAGUAAAAAAUUGUACACGUAUUAUGAGUCCAAAUUGAUAUAAAUAAAUGAUUGAAUAAUUUCCUGAGUGGGAGAGAAGAGACACACCUCCAGUCAGAAUUAUAUAGUUCCUCUGUUGAAUUCUCAUUGAUCCAUUUCCAUUGAUCAAUUCCAGCACUAGAGGGAAGACUGUCUUGGACCUACUGAGAGAAAGUCAAUUUUCUCCAACAGGCCACCUUCCUUCAAGGACAGUUUGGACUAUGGAUGGCUGAAAUGAGAAGCUAAGCUCAAGGAAGAUGGGACCCUAUUGCUUAACUAUCUGCUAGGGCCCACACAGGGCCAUACUUGAGGCAGGGCCCUACAUUUGCUUUUUAAACAGUCCUAAAUCCAAUGGAAAGAGGAGCCUGGUAGGCUGCAGUCCAUGGGGUCGCUAAGAAUCGGGCUUGACUGAGCAACUUCACUUUCACUUUUCACUUUCAUGCUUUGGAGAAGGAAAUGGCAACCCAUUCCAGUGUUCUUGUCUGGAGAAUCCCAGGGAUGGGGGAGCCUGGUGGGCUGCCAUCUCUGGGGUCUCACAGAGUCGGACACAACUGAAUCGACUUCGCAGCAGCAGCAGCAAUGGUGCCAUCUGGGGUGCCAUGUGGUGUGAUGUUUCCAAACCAUUUAGUGCUGAGAUUGGAACAUGUACAUAAAAGAUGAUCACUGGCACCACUUCAGUGAUGCUCUCCACCUUCUUCCUAAACAAACAGUGGCCUCUCUGCCUCCUCUUUCUUCCUCAGCCCUGCCUCACAUGACCUUCAAGUUCACUAUGCCUCCGCCCUCACCUGCGCACUCCUGCCCACCAUUUAUUCCACCUUGAACCUAUGCUUGCCUAUGGAUACCUACUAGAUAAGAGUAGAUGAUUAAUAUUACCAGAGACUUGGAAACCCACAAUAGCUUCGAGGACCUGGCCCCGAUUCAAACCUGCAGGACAGAAGCCACAUUACACUCAGUGGUGAAGGCAUUUUUUCAAAUCCCACCCUUGCAUUAGUGCACGUGGAACCAAUGCUGAUGACCACUGUGUUCAAACAUGUGGAGGGGGCUGUACUUCCUCCACUUCAUUUCCAUUGCUUGGUUCUUCUCCAAGCUGCUGAUCUCCAGCUGCACUUGUUUUUGACUUUGUGGCUCAGCCAGUAAAGAAACCACCUGCAAUGUGGGAGACCUGGGUUUGAUCCCUGGGUUGGGGAGAUCCUCUGGAGGAGGGAGAGGCUACCCACUCCAGUAUUUUGACCCGGAGAAUUCCGUGGACAUAGGGUCGCAAAGAGUCGGAGAUGACAGAGAGACUUUCACUUUUACUUUGCAGGGACUACAGGGAAGGGCAAAGGGUAGUUUGCUAUUCUAAGCAGUUUGGAGCUUUAUCCUAAGGAAUGGGGAGCCAUUGGGAGGUUUUUGAGAAGGUCAGAUUCAUAUUUUUGUCUUAAAUGAUAUGUUCAAUCUGAUGGCAGUGUUUAGGUCUCCCAGUGGUUUUACGUAGGAAGAAGUAUCACGCACCAGGGGCUUUCCAGGUGGCUCAGUGGUAAAGAAUUCACUUGCCGAUGCAGGAGACACAGGAGACCUGGGUUUGAUCCCUGGGUUGGGCAGAUCCCCUGAAGAAGGAAAUGGCAACCUACUCCAGCAUUCUCGUAGCCUGGCAGGAGUUGCAUGGAGUUGCAAGUCUUACAUGACUUAGCUACUAAACAAUAGCAAAUACAUAUGUGUGUGUGUGUGUGUGUGUGUGUGUGUGUGUGUGUGUGUGUAUGCUUUUUCAAAUUCUUUUCCACUACAGGAUACUGAGUAUAGUUAUCUGUACUAUACUGUAGGUUCUUGUUCUUUACCUAAAUUAUAUAGUAUAUAGUAGCGUGUAUAUUGGAGAAGGCAACGGCACCCCACUCUAGUACUCUUGCCUGGACAAUCCCAUGGAUGGAGGAGCCUGGGAGGCUGCAGUCCAUGGGGUUGCUGAGAGUCAGACAUGACUGAGCGACUUCACUUUCACUUUUCACUUUCAUGCAUUGGAGAAGGAAAUGGCAACCCAUUCCAGUGUUCUUGCCUGGAGAAUCCCAGGGAUGGGGAGUCUGGUGGGCUGCCGUCUAUGGGGUCUCACAGAGUCAGACACAACUGAAGCGACUUAGCAGCAGCAGCAUCGUGUAUAUGUUAAUCCCAUACUCCUAAUUUAUUCCCCCAUUCCUUUUGGAAACCACAAGUUUGUUUUCUAUGUCUAUGAGUCUAUUUCUGUUUUGUGAAUAAGUUCGUUUGUAACAUUUUUUUAAA
ensembl:lncRNA